UACGGGGGGGGCAAGCGUUGUUCGGAAUUACUGGCGUAAAGGGCUCGUAGGCGGCCAACUAGUCGGAUGUGAAAUCCCCAGCUUAACCUGGGAACUGCAUCCGAUACUGGAUGGCUUGAAUCCGGGAGAGGGAUGCAGAAUUCCAGGUGUAGCGGUGAAAUGCGUAGAUAUCUGGAGGAAUACCGGUGGCGAAGGCGGCAUCCUGGACCGGCAUUGACGCUGAGUGAGCGAAAGCCAGGGGAGCAAACGGG
rnacentral:rRNA from 1 species